GAUGAACGCUGGCGGCGUGCCUAAUACAUGCAAGUCGAGCGAACAGACGAGGAGCUUGCUCCUCUGACGUUAGCGGCGGACGGGUGAGUAACACGUGGAUAACCUACCUAUAAGACUGGGAUAACUUCGGGAAACCGGAGCUAAUACCGGAGAAUAUAUUGAACCGCAUGGUUCAAUAGUGAAAGACGGCUUUGCUGUCACUUAUAGAUGGAUCCGCGCGGCUUUGGCUAGUUGGUAAGGUAACGGCUUACCAAGGCAACGAUGCGUGCCCGACCUGAGAGGUGAUCCGCCACACCUGGACCGGGGAACCGGCCCGACCCCCAAGGGGGGGCACAGGGGGGAAAUCUGCAGAAAGGGGCGAAGGCCGAACGAGGCAACGCGGGGUGAGUGAUGAAGCUCUUCGGUUGGUAAAACUCUGUUAUUAGAAAAAAACAAAUGUGUAAGUAACGAUGCACGUCUGAACGGAACCUAAGCAGAAGGCCCCGCCAACUUCCGU
rnacentral:rRNA from 1 species